rfam:Triticum urartu cultivar G1812 contig552176, whole genome shotgun sequence.
UAGGUACUCCCUCCGUCCGGAAAUACUUAUCAUUAAAAUAAAAAUAAAAAUGUAUCUAAAUGUAUUUUAGUUUUAAAUACAUUUUUUUUGUUCAUUUCAAUGAUAAGUAUUUUCGGACGAAGAGAGUAUCAG